ACUCAACGAAAGUUCAAUUAAAAAGGGUGAGUUUCGAUUGUGCGAACAAGCUCAACUAGAUUGAGAUUUUUAAGCAGUUGGUUAGCCCUAAACCUGAUAAAAUGGAGUUU
rfam:Flavobacteriaceae bacterium TMED265 118918, whole genome shotgun sequence.